UACGUAGGGUGCAAGCGUUGUCCGGAAUUAUUGGGCGUAAAGAGCUCGUAGGCGGUCUGUCGCGUCGGAUGUGAAAACCCAGGGCUCAACCCUGGGCCUGCAUUCGAUACGGGCAGACUAGAGUUCGGUAGGGGAGACUGGAAUUCCUGGUGUAGCGGUGAAAUGCGCAGAUAUCGGGAGGAACACCAGUGGCGAAGGCGGCGCUCUGGGCCGGAACUGACGCUGAGGCGCGAAAGCUGGGGGAGCAAACAGG
rnacentral:rRNA from 1 species